AUACGGAGGAUCCGAGCGUUAUCCGGAUUUAUUGGGUUUAAAGGGUGCGCAGGCGGGAGGUUAAGUCGGCGGGGAAAUUUUGUAGCUCAACUGGAAAAGAGCCAUCGAGACUUGGUUUCUUGGGUGUGGAUUCAGUAGGCGGAAUUUGGGGUGUAGCGGGGAAAUGCAUAGAUAUCACGAGGAACUCCGAUUGCGCAGGCAGCUUACUAGGCCAUAACUGACGCUCAGGCACGAAGGCGUGGGGAUCAAACAGGAUUAGAUACCCUGGUAGUCCACGCAGUAAACGAUGAUUACUCGCUGUUUGCGAUACACAGUAAGCGGCUUAGCGAAAGCGUUAAGUAAUCCACCUGGGGAGUACGUUCGCAAGAAUGAAACUCAAAGGAAUCGACGGGG
rnacentral:rRNA from 1 species